rnacentral:rRNA from 1 species
UACGGGGGGGGCAAGCGUUGUUCGGAAUUACUGGGCGUAAAGGGCUCGUAGGCGGCCAACUAAGUCGGACGUGAAAUCCCUCGGCUUAACCGGGGAACUGCGUCCGAUACUGGAUGGCUUGAGUUCGGGAGAGGGAUGCGGAAUUCCAGGUGUAGCGGUGAAAUGCGUAGAUAUCUGGAGGAACACCGGUGGCGAAGGCGGCAUCCUGGACCGAGAUUGACGCUGAGGCGCGAAAGCCAGGGGAGCAAACGGG